GACCUGCCCACUGAUAAUAUAAUUUAAUGGCCGCGGUAUUAAUGACCGUGCAAAGGUAGCAUAAUCAUUAGUCUUUUAAUUGAAGGCUUGUAUGAAUGGUUGGACAAAAGGAAAACUGUCUUCUUWAAUAUAAAUUGAAUUUAACUUUUAAGUGAAAAGGCUUAAAUAUUUCAAAGGGACAAUAAAACCCUAUAAAGCUUUAUAUAAAAUGAAUUUUAAAUUGAAAUUUUAUUAAAAAAUUAAAAUUUAUGUUUAUAUUGUGUUGGGGUAACAAAAGUAUAAUUGUUAAAAACUGUUUAUUUUAUAUACGGGUAUAUUUGUAUUAUUAAGUGACCCUUAUUUAAAGAUUUUAAAAUUAAUUUACUUUAGGGAUAACAGCGUAUUUUUUUUAGAGAGUUCCUAUCAAAAAAAGAUUUUGCAACCUCGAUGUUAAAUUAAAAUUUCUAUAUAGGGGAGCUAUUAUAUAAGGAGGUCUGUUCAACCUUUAAUUUUUUACAUGAUUUGAUUUCAAACCGGUGUGACCC
rnacentral:rRNA from 1 species